rnacentral:rRNA from 1 species
GACGAAGGGGGCUAGCGUUGUUCGGAAUUACUGGGCGUAAAGCGCGUGUAGGCGGUUGCCCAAGUCGGGUGUGAAAGCCUUGAGCUCAACUCAAGAAAUGCCACUCGGUACUGGGUGACUAGAGGACCGGAGGAGGAUAGUGGAAUUCCCAGUGUAGUGGUGAAAUACGUAGAGAUUGGGAAGAACACCAGUGGCGAAGGCGGCU